rnacentral:rRNA from 1 species
GACGAACGCUGGCGGCGUGCCUAAUACAUGCAAGUCGAACGCAUUUUCUUUCACCGUAGCUUGCUACACCGAAAGAAAAUGAGUGGCGAACGGGUGAGUAACACGUGGGUAACCUGCCCAUCAGCGGGGGAUAACACUUGGAAACAGGUGCUAAUACCGCAUAAUUCCAUUUACCGCAUGGUAGAUGGAUGAAAGGCGCUUUUGCGUCACUGAUGGAUGGACCCGCGGUGCAUUAGCUAGUUGGUGGGGUAACGGCCUACCAAGGCUGCGAUGCAUAGCCGACCUGAGAGGGUGAUCGGCCACACUGGGACUGAGACACGGCCCAGACUCCUACGGGAGGCAGCAGUAGGGAAUCUUCGGCAAUGGACACAAGUCUGACCGAGCAACGCCGCGUGAGUGAAGAAGGUUUUCGGAUCGGAAAACUCUGUUGUUAGAGAAGAACAAGGAUGAGAGUGGAAAGUUCAUCCCUUGACGGUAUCUAACCAGAAAGCCACGGCUAACUACGUG